rnacentral:rRNA from 1 species
UACAGAGGUCCCAAGCGUUGUUCGGAUUCACUGGGCGUAAAGGGUGCGUAGGCGGUCUGUCGCGUCGGCUGUGAAAACCCGGGGCUCAACCCCGGGCCUGCAGUCGAUACGGGCAGACUAGAGUGCGGUAGGGGAGACUGGAAUUCCUGGUGUAGCGGUGAAAUGCGCAGAUAUCAGGAGGAACACCGAUGGCGAAGGCAGGUCUCUGGGCCACUACUGACGCUGAGAAGCGAAAGCAUGGGGAGCGAACAGG